UCGAACAUAGCUUUUACUCUGUCAAAAUGUUAUUUUUGUUUUGGUUAUCCGAUUUUUGCAGUGUGCAAAAAGUAGUCCAGCGCUGUGCAAAAAGUACAAACCGAAGUGCCUUUGCGGAAGUUAACUGUUUUUUCUUGUUCGCUGCCACUUGCUGAUGGAGCCAAACACCCCGGUGUAACUCAACGUCUGCCGGAAAUGCGACGACCGCUACGACACAGCAGGUGUCCGUGUCGCGGAAUUGGUGGAACAAGUACAAACCUGAGCUUACAAAACGGAGUCCAAAGGGAUAGAUCAGCAACGGCAUCUGAAUCCAAACCGGCAGCAACUUCA